rnacentral:rRNA from 1 species
UACAGAGGGGGCAAGCGUUGUUCGGAAUUACUGGGCGUAAAGGGCGCGUAGGCGGCCUUCUAAGUCGAACGUGAAAUCCCCGGGCUCAACCCGGGAACUGCGUCCGAUACUGGAAGGCUUGAAUCCGGGAGAGGGAUGCGGAAUUCCAGGUGUAGCGGUGAAAUGCGUAGAUAUCUGGAGGAACACCGAUGGCGAAGGCAGCCUCCUGGGCCAACACUGACGCUCAUGCACGAAAGCGUGGGGAGCAAACAGG